rnacentral:precursor_RNA from 1 species
UCCUUGGACAUCCGGGUGGCCCCUGAUCUGCAGAAGGGCAGCAAGGGUGGUCCAGGGAGU